ACACUGUUCCUAAGCAACAGACACCUUUCACGAUUUUCACCUCGAUCAGCCACCACCGCCCCCUUAUCAUCGUUCUCCAAGGACACCCCACACCUCUUCUUCGCUUGUUGUCCCUUCGUAUUGUCGGGUGGUGUGCAGUGCGCCUCACUGCAGGUGUGCGUCUGUGUGUGUGUGUUCGCUUACCUGCGGAUUUGUGUACGCACCCGCGGCCCGCCAAUCAACAAGCACCGCAUUGGCGCUGCGGACGACCGACAGGCUGAAGAGAAUACAUCCCACUCGCGGACCUUGAGCGAGACACCGCCGCAUAAAACCAGAAAGUGCGAAAAGUGAGGAAGGAGGAAGAGGGGGCAAGGUGAAGCAGUAACAGAGAGGUACACCGUCGCCAACGCAUCGGGACGGCGACGUGGACGUUGAAGCGACCGAAAGACAACGGGCGUAUACGAGGAAGCCGCUCGAAAAGAAAAUAAAAGAAGUGAGGGGGAGACUUUGUGCCCUCUCCUUAUCGAGUCUGAUAUAUCGCUUCCUGCCCCUCUGUUCCGUUGGUGCGUGCACGUGUGUCUGUGAAAGCAAAAAGCUUCUCCUCUUUUAUCGCCUAACCCAUCCACCCCUCAUUCCGAAGACCUUGUCCUUCUACCUAAAGCGUGCGAGAAAAUCAAAGGGCCAUCGAUUCUUCCGAGAAGCAACGAAGCGAACACAGCAGCAACAGCAGCACCAAAACGGGGGGGGGGCAGAGCUGAGGCAGGCGUGUGAACCUUGCGAGCACCUGACCUGCUACUGCUCUCCCUCUCCCUCUCCCACUCUCUCGUCUCAACUCGUCGUGUUCUCGCGUUCCUCUGUCGACAGAUCGAUUUUGCAAACACCCGCACACACGCACGAAGAGAGAGGGAAGGGAAAACGGGAUUACCUCGCCCAGCAGACGCCGCACGAACGUGCGAGAACACGCGCAAACAACUUCUUGAGAAAGCGGAGCAAAAAACUCUGCAGACGCUCAACCUGGCUUGUGCGUCUGCGCGCUCUGUGUCGCGGCGAGGCACACUUUUCCAUCGCCUCCUUUUCUGCUGUUUGUGGUUGCGGCUCCUUUUUUGCCUCCCUCCCCCAUCCCCCUCAUCCUUUUCUGCCUCCCCGUGCUGCUGGCCAGGCAAAGAAGGGCAACGUGGAAGGCUUUCACUCGCUUUAGAUUUUUCUUUUUUUUUCGAUUCCGUGUUGUGUGUGCUCUUAUUUUCGUGUGGGGCAAGUGACUCUCCCUUCUUCUUUUUUCUACUCCCUACUCCUACCCAUCUAACGACAUCAUUGCAGCAGCCACACGCCACGUGUUGUGCCUUGUUAUGUAUACCUAUAUACAUAUUUUUUUUUUCGUGUGCUGCCUUGUAAGUACUGCCACGUGGCAGCUGCGCACCUCUCUCUAUCGGAUACAUCCAAGAGAAGGAGACAUCGCUUGAAUCCGGAGACGGCCGUGAUAGGUGUGCAUGCGUGUGUGUGUGUAAGAAAGCAGAUCGACAACGAAAAAGGAGGACAAGGUGGAGAGGCACACAUCCAAGCAGGAGGGCACUUCGUCGUCGUAGCACGCACACACACACGUAUAUAUAUACACACACAGCGAGAGGAAAGAGCAGAAGGAUACACACGCACAAGGAAGGGCGGACAUCUUCUCCAAGCCAUUCAUCCCCUCCACGUCUGCCCUCGUGUUGACGUUUCUCCUUCUUCCUUUCUCGUAGCAUAUAUAUAUAUAUAUAUAUAGUGUGUGUGUGUGCGUGUGAUCGACGCAAGUACCAUAGCGACAAGCGACCACAGCGCUCGCCAACAGUCACAACGGGAGACACACAGAGACUGACAGACAGAGGCGGAGAGGCGCCUUGCAUACGUUUCUUUUUGUUAGCGUUACUCUCCUGCUCUCUUUCUCACUGUCUCUCGCUAGCUCUUUUUCUUGCUACAGCAGCGUGUCCUGGUCGCUGAGUCCCUUCCUUGCUCAUCAUACAUCCAUCGAACCACGGCGACAACGAGCGGUAAAUCACAGUCGCAAACGCAGGAAGAAAUAGGAAGCACAGAUCCGCCCUUUCCUUCAGCAGUCCGUUUUUACGAAGCAGCAUACACGACUCCCUAAAAAGGAUCCCCAGCGCGGCUGUCACCGUAAACGUCUGCAGGAUUGCGUGCCUUCUGUCUCAGUUUUCGCCUUGCCUUACUUCUCCUCUCGUUGUCCUCCGAUCGCCCUACUCCUCGUUGCUGCUCCCCCACUUCUUUCUCUGCGCUUUACCACCGCCACAUCACCUCUUGCCAUCGUUUUAGCCACCAUCCAUUCUCGCAAGCUUGCUCUUUCUUUUUUCCCCUUUUCGUCCAUAUCCAUUUUGAGACCUUUGUGUUGCGCGUGCACCCGUCAAUUUUGCCUGGUUGUUGAUUUUUUUUUUCUGCUAAUUUGCUCGCGCGCGUGUGUGUGUGUGUGUGUGCGUGUCUGUCUGGACGAGUGAGCGACUGGUUCGCGCGGCCGCGACGACUUUGGUUUCUACUUGUGAUUUCACAUAAGGGCAUCUCUCCUUCUGUAUCUCUAUGGGUAUGGCUGCUUUUUAUUCUUGACUCGUUCUCCCUUUCUUCGGUCCGGCAGCAUCUCCCCUUCCAUCCCCUGUGCCGCCUGCUGCACGCGUGCUGGUGCGAUUUUAUCUUACCCCGGUCGGUAGUCCUCCUCUCCACAGGUUUCUCUCUUGCCUUCCUCCUUCUUUUGUUUUUUUGGUGGUGCUGGCUGAGGCGUCUUCUCUCUCGUCCUGCUCGAGCCGCGCGCGCGUGUGCGUGCGCGCGCGUCCGUGCAGACGGUCACGCUGCAGGUCGCGCGCCUCCCUCUGCUACUUGCUUUUUUCGCCUCAUCCCAGAUUUGUAUCCGACUCCUUCUAUACAUACAUGUGUACAUGCUUUACACCAUCGCCUGUCUCUCUUUCCGCUGUAUCGCAGAGCCACAGAGACGACGACAUCAGCGAAGGGCGCUUUACUCUUCCACGUUGUGGAGUGCUAUGUGGGGUGUGUGAUUGCUGUCCGGCGAAGCGGCUGCACCCCUCCCUCUCCUCCCGUGCGAGCGUGUGGCGCUCUCCUUCCCGCGUCGGCUGUUUUUCGUCGUGCUGUGUUUCUCGUCCUCUGUCGCCCUCUUUUGAACACUCACGACGACCACUGCCUCCCCGUCAAGGUGUCGCGGCUUCCUCGCUUUCCUGUUCUUGUUAUUCGUUCUUGUUUUUUUUUCCUUCUGCGACAAGGCGCUCAACCCGUCGACGUCAUCCUCAUCGCUGCGGUUGCCGUGUUCACGCGGCGCCUUUGUUUUUCGUGCAUCUUUCCCUUGUAGCCGCGGCGCGUGCAGCGACCCUUUUCAGUGCCGCCCUCAUCUGGGUGGCUGCUCUCUCCAUUAGUACCCUUCGUGUGCUGAAGCCUCUCUCUCGCCGUCGUCGGCGGCGGUGGCGGCGGCCCGAGUGUGGGAGUGGGGCAGAGUCUUUGCCAGCCUACCCAUUCACCUCCACACAUAUUUCUCUCCUCCUCUCAUGUCCGCUCGAGGGUUUCCUCGGCGGUGCUGCGCACUGGUGUGCGUGGCGUCUGCGGCACUGGCACUCGCGCUGCUCAUCCCGGCGGCGUGCGGCUUCGCCGGUGCUGCUGCUGCGGCGUCGAUAACGGUGACGACGACGCCGUCGCUGCCGCUGCUCGACGUGCCGUUCCACGCGGACGUGGCGGGUGCCGGCAAGGGGCACAGUGUGUUUGUCUCCAGUCAGAGCGACUGCAGUGGUGCCUCGAAGGUGACGCCGGUGUGCACCCUUGGGAGUGCGGUGGAUGGCGUCAGCUUCGUGAAUGGGACGUGCGUGUUCCAUGUGACGAGCGAGGCGCUGAGUGUCGACUUGACGAGGCCCCGCCCCACGGUUCCCGCACUGUACUGGUGCAGCAGCGCUCAUCCCGGCGCGUCGGUGGGCGCGCUGCAGAUGAGCGUGAUGGGGAUGUCUCGACAGUUUAUGUUUGUCAACGUCGAGACGACGGUACACCUUAACGAGGCGACACCCAUCGGCACUAAAAUCGGUUUUUACGUCAUCAGCACCUGUGUUACGCCGUUGACGAUCCCCCAGUCCUUCACCGUCUCCGCCACACGCACUAUCACGCUCAGAGCAACUGGUAAAGUGCCGAUGUACGUCUGCGCCACGAUCCCCACCGUGUCGGGGACCAUGACAGCGCUGGCACUUCGAGGAGUCGUCGCAGGCGCGCCAGUCUACACUCUCCAGCCUUCUCGAGGGGUGCGCCAUCGCACCAUCAGCAUGACGACGACAGCGGAGGGCGUUGCGAAGGUCGCACUUUCUCGGGACAGCGACUGCGACACAUUGGCUCAGCCCGCGCAGCUCGCAACGCUGAACGAGCGCUUCGGCUUCCGCAUUACCGCCCCGGCCGGUGUCUACUACUUGUGCGCAGCCACGGGUCUCAGCACUUUCACGCCGUCCACCAACACCUUCACGGUGGAGGAGUACGACGUGCAGCCGCACACGAUGUACGCGGCCCGCGAGACUCCGCUGACCUACGGCCUGAGUGCGGCUGGCCGUGAGGAGGAGCUGGAGACGGCGCUGUCGACGACGACGGACUGCAUUGGAGGCUCGCUGGUGGUUCCUUGGGGAGCAUCGAUGUCGUGGGCAGUGCCAAAGGUGGGCACGUACUACGCGUGCGUACGGGACCGCGGUGUGGCGAGCACUGCCGGGCACACGAGCGCGAUCACUGUGACGGACGUGCCGACGCUGACGUUCUCGCCGGAUGAAGUGGUUGGGGGGCUUCCGAUAACGGCGACACUCAAACACCCCAACGCGACGACAGCGGAGUUUGACGUGAUGCUCUCGAACAAGCUCAACUGCGUCGACAUGUUCGCCGUCGUCCGAAAGCCCACCGGGACGGCGAUGGUCACACUGCCCACUGUCACAACGGUGCAGGGCGACGUUACCUACUGCGUCUCGAACCCGCGGGAGCCCAACGAGGACUUCCAUACAGUCAGCUACCAGCUUGGCACCCUGCGGACACGCAUGUACCGGGUCGGUCACAGAGCGUUGCGUAUCAACUCGACACUGCGCUUCGUCCUGGACAGCGAGGUGCCCCUGGCGAGCGGGACGUCUGUGGUGCUUGUCCCUGAAGCCAAUAAGAGUCCAUGCGCCCCCUCGAUGGCCGCCGCAGCCGCCAUGGGUGAAGGAAGCGGCAUGAUGAUGUUCACUGUGUCGGGAGCGUCGGCGGUUCUGUCGCCUGUGGUGUUCCCUGCAGGGGGUUUGUGGCUCAUGUGUCUGCAGUCCGGCGACGGGCGCCAGCUUCAAUACCUGGAUCUGCGUAGGUUCUGGAUCUACGGAACAACGGCGCAGCUUUCACAGGACCUUGUCCUCGUCAAUGUCAAAACACCGGUGCAUGUUUCCCGACUUGAAUCGGAUCACAACGUCACUGUGACCUCAAGCAAAACAUGCAGUCCAUCCACGGAGUGGGUUGCUAACGGUACAGCGAAGGGCGGCGUCGUGACGCUGAACGUGCAGUCAGCCUCGGCAGGGCCGCUGCUGGUGUGCUUCGCGUACCCUGCAGAAUCGGAGUCGGCGUUCACAAACAUUGAAGCGGACUACGCUCCCGUCGGCGACUUUCAGAGCCUAGCUGCGCGCGCGUAUCCAAGCAUCGCGUACGUGAGCGAGACGACGACGCUGAGCUUCGCCGGGGUCGGCGGCAUGUCGCUGACGGGCUACUUCGCUUUCUUCCUGCCUCAUGCGACGUCGUGCAGCGAGCCCGACGCGACGGUUUUGGGCUCGGGACUGAAGGGGCCGGACGCGACGUCGACCGUGUCGUACGGGACGGUGAGUGGCAGUGCGCUGGAACGGGGAACCUUGUACCGCGUGUGCGUGGGGCGAUCCAUAGGCGACGGCUACUGCGAUGCCGGCGUUGUUGCGGCGAUGGAGGUGCCGCCGGUGUCGACGGACCCGCCGGUGCCAGUGCGCGGGCUGCCCGUGCGGCUGCAGCUGCCGCCGAGCUUCACGAGCACUGCUGCUGUGACGUUUUACGUUGUGGUGGGCGGCACGGCGAGGUGCAGCGACGACCUGAGCGGGACCCGUGUGUACGGGAGCGGGCCUGUGGACCGUGCGAGCGGCGCUGCGUCUGCGUUCGUGGCGCCUGCGCGUGCGAGCGGCGUGGACGCCGUGCGCGUGUGCGUCGGGUCGAACGAGAGCCUCGUGUCGGACAGCCUGGGGUACGCGCAUGGCGCGACGCUGCGGCUGGAGCAGUUCCACACAUCGAUGGUGUACCUGCAGCGCGGCGUGCCGAACGUGCUGUCCGGUGCGCCGAUGGCCGCGACGGGGUCGCUGUACGUUGUCGCGUGCGACGGGAAGGAGUGCGACGCUGACAACGCUGACGGCGUGUGCCGCGCGAAGAUGUCGCAGGGCGCGACGAGCUCUGCGACGGCUGCGCUGGAUGCGCCGCUGGGGCGGUGCCUGCUGUGCCAGCGCGUGACGUUGGGCACGGUGGUGUCGGUGGUGGGCUCGAACACGACGGUGGAGGUGGUGGAGCCGUUUAAGAUGCGCCUCUCCGUAGACCCCUCUGCCAUUCGCGCGUACGUGCCGUUCGCAGUGACCAUGUCGGGCGGCCCUGGCGGCGCGGGGGCGAAGUACACGGGUUACAGCCUCAAGGUACAGCCCGCGUCUGUCGUUUGUGGUGCCACGGCGUACGAAUCGCAGGAAAUCGUGGUGGAGGACGGCUUCGCGGAGGUUUCCAUCCAGAACAUGAAGGCAGGCAAGCAAAUACGGUUUUGCACCUCCUCACCACUGCUGAGCAGCGUGAGCGUGCUGACGGGCACGCUGCGGCACUACAUGACGCCUGCAGCUGUGAUCGGCGACCGCGCGACGACGCUGACGUCUGGCGGUGUGAUUAGGGGCGCCACGGCGGUGCUGUCGCGCACGGCGGACUGCCUCAGCGUCGUGGCUGGCGGCGGCGCUGCGCCGAUUGUGGACGCGAGGGUGACGUUCACUGUCACGUCGUGCGGCGCGAACGGAGCGCUGGCGUCGCUGUACUACUGCGAGGCUGCUAGCGGGGGUGCGUACGCGUCCCGCGGUGCGGUGGGACUGCUGCGCGCGAGCGGGUGCAGCGGCGGCGCGGAUGCGAGCAUUGCCGAGGUGAACGCGGCGCCUGGCGCUGCGAUCGGCAGCUUCGGGAUCGACGCCGCGUACCUGGCGAGGCCGCGGCUGUCUGCGUCGCCGGACUGCGGCGUGCUGCUGGACGCAGCUGUUGCGAGCGUUGGGUACGCGCCCGGGGCUGGCGAGCGCGCUGCGUUCCACGUGUGCGCCGUGCUUGUGGGCGACGCGAGCGUGACGUUCACGACGGCGCGCCCGACGCUGCGCGUUGCGAACUGGGCCGUGACGCCGACUGCUGCUGUGAGCCGGUACAACGCGACGCUUGGCGCUGCUGCUGCUACUGCGGUGCGCGUGAACUACGCGACGCCGUCGAGCGAGACGUUCCUGAGCACUGCGAGCGACUGCAGCGUGCGGACGGCGAGCGCGGCGGGGCUGAGCGGGGCGUCGAAGGCGGCGACGUACAGCACGACCGGCGUGCGCGGGCUUGUGCACGUGUGCACUGUUGCGCCGCUGAGCGGGAAGACGCUGGCGGUUGCGCAGUUCCUGUCCGUGACGCCGCCUGCUGUGCUGCGUGUGUCGCCGGCUGUUGUGCGCGGCGGCGAGUGCAGCGCGACGCUUGUGGUGGACGGUGCGCCGCCGCUGUACUCGAUGGUGCCUGGCGCGGACAGCGGGUACACGCACAGUGGCUACUACACGAGCGCGAGCCGCGAGGUGUACCUGUCCGGGGACGCGUGCUCGGGCGUGCUUGCGGGGACGAGCGCGGCGACGGUGACGUCGAGCGGCAGCGUGUCGUUUGCGACGGCGGGCGUUGCGGCGAGCGUGAGCGCUGUGUGGCUGUGCGCGGUGACGGCUGCGGGGCCCGCGGUUGUGCUGGCUGGCGUGGCUGUUGCGCCCGGCAGGGUGCACCCGACGACAAUGGUGUCGGGCGCACUGGGUGCGCCUGUCUUCAUACCGAGCCUGAAGGGCACGGCGGUGCAGCUGAGCGCGUCUGCGAGCGGGUGCGGGUCUGUUGCUGGGAUGCCGAGCUUCACAACGGACGCGGAGGGCUACGGCGCUGUGGACCUUGUGGGCGGCGACGGCGGCGCGCUUGCGCCGGGCACGUACACGCUGUGCUACGGCGGUGCGCCGCGUGGCGGUGCUGCGGCGCUGGAGUCGGUGGAGCUUGUGCGCGCGUCGUACUUCGACGUGCGCGGGACGACGUUUGUUGUCGGCGUGGCGAGCCGGAUGCCGCUGCUGCAGGACCUGACUGCUGCGGCGCUUGUGCCCGGGUUCAGCACCGCGCGCGACUGCACGUCUGUGUCGAGUGAGCACGGCGAGUGGGCUGCUGUGACGAGCACGUCUGUGUCUGUGACUGCGACGAGCGUGUACACUGCUGGGCUGUACCUGUGCGCGCGUGCGCCGGUGAACGGGACGCUUGUGGCGCUGCCCGGGCGGUGGUCUGGGGCGCGGAGCGUGCAGUUCGUUGCGUCUGCGAUGCAGCUGCCGUCUGCUGGGUGGGACGCGUGCACGACGUACACGCUGGACCAGUGCUACCCGCCGGGUGCGAGCGCGAGCGGUGCGACGUCGGUGGUUGCUGUUGUGCACGGGGACUGCUGCAGCGAGUCGAGCCGGAGCGCGGUUGUCGGGGAGGCGAGCAUGGCGAGCGGGACGUGCGAGCUGACGCUGGACUACGACAAGGUGUCCGCGUACCCCGCGGGAUCGACGUACCACGUGUGCGUGUGGGACAGCGCGGACGACUCUGUGUGCACGACCGUGAGCGAGGCGCGCGUGAGCACGAACUGCACGCGCGGUGGCGGCGGUGGCCGGGGGCUGAGCCGUGGCGCGGUGGCCGGAAUUGUUAUAUGUUGUCUUGUUCUUUGUUGCUGCGUCGCGUGCGCGGGCUUGUGGUGUUUCUGCUGCGGUCAUGUCGAUGUCAAGCCCGCGGAGGAAGUGGAGGUGCACAUUCCUGCCGACGCCUCGUUGGUGGUGAAGCUUCGCGGCCGCCUGUCGGCGGAGUUCCACUGGCGCGGUGACUCGCCAGACGGCUCCUUCAGAAGCUUUAGUGGCUCACUGUCGUCUGUGGGGACUGAUGUGUCGCUGACGUUGAACCCGCUGCUGGUGAGUGCUGCGUACGCCAGCGGGGCUGCGCUGCUGCCGGACGACCAUCCGAUAAUUCCUGUUACCGUCGACGAGAAAGUCAGGAGCCUGCCGAAGCUAGAGUGGGAGCACCGCCGGCGCCUCGCUGCUCGCGAGGGGGAGGCGCGGCGUGUGAUGCGGCGGCGGUGCGAGGCGGACCUGCAGGAGUUGAAGGCGGAGGUGAUUGUUUUCUUCACUGACGGCGCCUACCGUGACGGCGACGGCGGGGAUCAAACUGGGCUUGAGUGAAGCGGCAGUACGCCUGUGUCUUGGUGCGCGUUUGCGGGGGCAGCACGGGGAGGGGGCGAGUAGGAGCACUGCACAGGGCCUCUCUCUCCCGCCUUUUUUUUGUAGGUCCUCGUGCGACCGCUUUCACGUGUGUGGCGUUCAGGCCAUGAGGCUGCGUGGUGCCUCUUUCUCUCCGUGAGCAUGCGGGCUGUGCAUUGUGCUUGUCCUUUUCCAUUCCCUUAUCUUGCGUUCGUCGGAUGUCAAGCGGCAUUCACCUCCCUCCCUUCCUUUCCCCAACCCUCGCGCUCCGGCUCCCGCUCUUGUGCCAGGCCUCUGACUCAUCGGCCUGCGCCACAUACUUUCAAACCAUAGGCGGGCUCUAUGCCUGCCCCUCACUCACCCUUCUCCGCCCCUUUCUCUGCGCGAAAGGGGAAGGAAAGAAAAGGGGGGUGGGUGGGUGAGCGGAGGCCGGCAGGCGGGCGGCUGUCGUUGUCGCUUACGUCUUUUGUUGGAAAGGAAGAAGCUCAGGAAGGCGACAAUGACCGCGACGGGGAUGUGCGGCAGCGAGAGAGAGUGAGAGAGCUGCCCUUGGGGGGACUUUGUGCGUGCUCCUCUCGCCCUUUUCCCACGUCUGUGUGUGGAUGGCUGCACAGCGUGCUCGUGCGCGCGCACAAGUACCGACGUCGGCGUGUAUUCCUGGUGUCACCUUCUUCUCCGGGGGCUGGCGCUUGGGCGUUCACGGUGCGCCGAGGCAUUUUUCCUCCGCCUCAACCGUAGCUUUUCUUGGUUCGUGUACGCGUGUGAGUGUGGGUGUGUGAGCGCACCCGGCUGCACAUGGGAGGGUGUGGACGUGCGUGUGUACAUAUAGUUUUCCAUAGGCACCUCUUCCCCCCUCUUUGCCACACAGUGUGCGAGGGCACACGCAUGAGCAGCCUCCCUCCCCUCUCCUUCUCUCCUCCUCUCCUUCCCCUCCUUGCUUCCCCUCCUCGUCGCCCUCUCACCGCUUCCCUGUUCUCACCCCCUCCCCUCCGUCUCCCACGUGGUCCCUUCUUUGGCUUCUGAGGUGCCGGCGCGGGCGCUUUUUCUUGCUCUCUCUACCUCUUCCCCCCAUCCUGCUCGCACAAACGCGCACGUACGCGCUUGGCGUCAAGUGAAUGCGAUGCACAUGCGCAGGGCUCUUUCUCUCCGUUUGCAUGUGUGCGCCUCGGACUGCGUAGCGGGCGUGGUAUGCUCUCUUUUUCAAAAGUGUGUUCGCCCACCCUGAGUGGGCCGCUACGCCUUCACUCCGCUUCCCUCUUGCCACCCCCCUAUCACCGCUUUUCUUCGCAAGCUCUACGAGGCCUCGACAGGGUGCUGCUUCGGCUGCUUCUCCUCCCUAACGUCGCCGAGGCGUGGAGGUGGUGGAACACCGCACUCGGUGCGGUGUGCGUGUCUGCGCGCGUGUUCACGGACGCUCUCGCGUGUGUGUAGGUGUGCGCAGUGCGGCGCUCUAUUUUUAUUUUUUAUUUUUUGUAUGAGUGCGGUUUCCAUCGACACGAACGCCACCAUCAGGCGAUCGAACAGCGACAACAACAGAAAAUAUGCGAGCGAGAAGACAACUGUGGCCUGCCACCUCUGCUCAUGCGGUGACUUGUGCGUGUGCCUGGCUCUCGCCUCUUGCGCCAGCUGCUGUGCGUCGUUGUAUAGCAGGACAGCACGUGUGCGUCUGCUCGCAUCAACCCCUCCAUAUCUGACUGCACUUAUAGAGCUCCGGAGGGGAGGGGGAGGGAACCCAGAGCACACGCUCGCCGGCGCUUCUCUUGGCCUCUCUGAGUUUCUCUUCAUGCGUCUUCCCCUUCCCUCUCUCUGAAUCGCUGCGUGCGGCCACUGAUGUCCGCCAGGAUUGUGCGUUGAGCGGUGGUCUGGCCUCCGCUUCGUCGAGGCGCAUGCGCAUGCUCAUGGAGCGCGCUGCUCUCUCUGCCCUUCUCCCCCUCACUCUUUCCAACUCGCUGCACGCCCUCUCUUCUCUUCAGUGCCCGCAUAUCGCUUCUUCACUCUCCCCUCUCCCCUACCUCCUAACACGCACGCAAGACCCCCUCCCCCAAGAAAAAAAAGGCUUUAAGCGCUCUCUUGCCUGCAUGUGUACCCUCAUGUGCAUACACCGACACGCAUAAUUGAAUGCAUGCCGCCCUGCACAACACCAUCCCCACAGGCGCGCGCCCCUCUCUCUUCCUCUUCGGUGUGGUUUCCGCUUGUUCUUCGCGUCGCGUCUGGGCGUGUCUGCCGCCGACGCCGCCGUCCAGUGUGAACGAGCAAGUGUAGGCUCGAGCGUGCAGGCGAAGGUGGCUUACAAUUGUAGGGGAACCAAGGCGGUGGAAGUCGGAUACGGGUGCGCCCUUGCGUGCGUGUGUGUGUUCUCCUUUGUGACUCGAGGCAGCACCGACAGAAUUCGUCCACCUCUUCUGCUCUCCCUCCCUCCGCUUUCCAUCAG
rnacentral:misc_RNA from 1 species